AAAGGGCCUCUCUUUUAUCUUCCUCCUUUUACUUCCUCCUCAUGCUGCUCGCUUAUUAGUGAUCACACAUACGCUGUCUGCUUCAUACAAACACUCAUCCACGCCUGAUAAGACACACACACCGGAGCUAUGACCCAACCAAACCAGAGCCGGUCCACGCGAGGAGCCCUGCAUACCAGAACGACAGACCCGAGGAACUCAAAGGUCUUUUCACACCUUUACCUCUCUUUUUCUGAUCUAGACCCUUCUCUUAGAGUAUUUGACAGACUGUGAUUGACACUCGAUUUAAGGGGGUGUCAGUUUGUCAAAUACCCCAAGAGAGAGGUCACGAGUCUCCGAAGAGCUCUGCUACACCUCGUUUGACCCAGGAUCUUCUGUUACACACAUUUAACCGUGUUUGCAGCAGUUGUGUACGUAUAGAGUUCACUUUUGUAUGUGUAAAAUGCUAAGGGAGAGAUUGAAUAAACAGAAUGGACCUUAUCAUGCACACACAUGUGCACACAUGUAUGGACAAUGGAAACUUGUAUGUAAUGUGUUUUUAUGAAUAUCUAUUUCAGUGGUUUUCAACUGUUGGGUCUUGACCCAAAAGUGGGUUGAAGGUCUGUUUUGGGUCACAGACAGCAUGGACAAACAAGUCUAAAUGCAGUUAAUUAAAAGCAACUAUCCAUAUUGAUAGUUUGGAUAGCAACGAAUAGGUGUAUCUACUUUUACUUUUUACCAUAUUUUGCAUUGUUGCUAUCAAAAGCUGUGCAUCCAUUUAAAGUCUAUGGUAUUCUGGUGCAAAUUCAUCUGUCACCUGGAAAUAUGGCUAAUAGUAAAACAAUAUUUGACCAAGUGUUUGGUCCACAUGGUAAAUUAGACUUCUGCUGUUGUUUAUGGAUUUAGAAAAUUGUUGAUUAUUCUAUUCAGUCCAUGUUUGAUUGGAAAUAAUUUUUUGUCACUUUUGUAUGAUAAACAAGUUUAGAACUGCAUUGGGUCGCCACUUGAUGGCCAAACCAGUUGAGAACCAUUGCCUUUUGGUAAUGACUGCACAUUUUCACUGUAUAAAGUGUCAGAUAAAAGUUUGCUUAAAAUAUCAUUUUUUAUUUUUUUAUUUUGAUUGUUUGCUUAAAAGAGAUCAAAUAAACAGAAUGAACCUAAAGCCUUGUCACAUACAUGUCUUGUUGGAAAAUAGUUUAAACAUCCACAUGUUUUUUUUAUUUUUAUUUUUAUUUUUUUAUAAUCUAAUUAUCAUUUAAAUACUAAUGGUUUAUAGGAGAGCUACACUGCUUUUAGCAAUCCACAUAUUUGUUUGUGUAUAAGCUCUACACCACUGCAAUUUUCAUGGACGGAUGGGCGGAUGGAUGUAAGAGAAUAUAAACAGAUGAAAAAUUUGCUUUUGCAAUACCAGAUAUGUACCCUUAACACAGUGCUGUGUUGAUUUGUCAGGCGCCAUUAUGUUAAAGGCACAUACUUUUACAGUCUCUACCUUUACACUCGUGGAAGAAAAGGUUUGAAUCCUAAAGAACAUUUUUUUCUAAGGGUGUAGUGUUUAGCUUGCAGUGCACAUUCACAUAUGUGGAUGACAGUUUCAGUUUGCAAGCUACUAUCUACAGAAAACUGAAAUGCAGUUGUGAAAUGUCUGUGUCUCAGUGUUAGUGUGUGUGUAUGUGUGUAUGUAUGUGUGUUGUAAUGCAUGUGGGUGUGUGUUAUCUGUUAUCUGCAAAUUAAAUCUAGCCACGUUUUCUUAGUUUUAGAAAUGCAGUUCUGUGUAAACUACCAAUGGAAACUACUUUUUCUUUUGAAAUCAUAUAUUACCAGGUUAAUCUAAUUAGAAGCUCAAUCUAAAUUACAUUUGCAUAUCCAGAAGUAAAUAUAGCAGUCCUUGCAGGGAAGCAAAAUAAUAAUUUUAGAUAAGUAUAGGUUUCAGGCCUUUGGUUCUGCAUAAAUGAAAUUCUGCAUCAGAGCCACUCAGCGUCCUUCUCGUUUUCUGUCAGCUGUUUACGAGAAUCAACACAUUAGAUGACCUUCACACGGCCACAUACUUGGGUUCAGAAAGAGCUAGAGGAAUGCAAAGGGGUACCAGAAUGCAGGGGUCUACAGGUAAUUUUUUUAUUUUAUUUAUUAAAGGCACUUGAAGCGAUUUCAGACUGCUUCAUUUUGCAAGUCUCAACGACACACCAUCUCUCAAAUAUGCUCCUACCCUUCAAAGACGUGUCAGGAAUCAGAUGUCAACAAACAUGCAAAAUGAUGUUCAGACAACUAUAAAUACCUAUUUCAUUGAUAUCUUUCUGCACAUUUUACUGUAUGCAUGGUGUUAAAAAAAAUCACCUUUUAGUAGCACUUCAGUGAGGACCAGUUUUGUCUAAUACUCUUUUAUUUACAAUUUGAAGUAAUCCAUUGGUGUUGGCGAUAUGGCAAUUCUGGGCAAAACUCCCAUGCAGCCUUGCAUUGAGUGGAGAGAGCAGCAGAGGCACUUCUUGGAUGUGCGAGUUACCCAUGCCAUGGGCACUGACACACGCCACCCCUGGCCCAUACAGACACUGGCUUUUGGACCUGAUGCUAAUAACAGCUUGGAUGGUCCUUCUCCUCUUUGGCCC